UGUCUUUUAGAUAAAAUUUAAAGUCUGGUCUGCUCACUGAAAUUUUAAAGAGCCGCAGUAUACUGACUGUGCAAAGGUAGCAUAAUAAAUAGCUGUUUAAUUGUCAGCUUGUAUGAAAGAUUAGACGAAAGAUUAAUUUUCUUUGUUUUAUUAAAUUUAAUUUUAAUUUUAAGUGAAAAUGCUUAAGUGUUAUUAAUAGACGAGAAGACCCUAUAGAUUUUUAUUGGUGGUAUAAAUUUUAUAUAUUAGUUUAGUAUUUCAAUUUAAUUGGGGCGAUUUUUUAAUAUAAAAAACUUAAUUUUUUUUGACCAUAAAUUAUUGAAUAUUAUGAUCUAAAAUUUUUAAAGAAAGAUUAAAUUACCUUAGGGAUAACAGCGUAAUUUUAUUUAAGAGUUCAUAUCUAUAAUAAAGUUUGCGACCUCGAUGUUGAAUUAAGAUAAUAUAUUGGAGUAGAAAUUAAAUAUGAUUAGUCUGUUCGACUAUUAAAUUCUUACGUGAUC
rnacentral:rRNA from 1 species